GACUGGUCCAAGUGCAGUAGUGUUUGCAACUAAUUGAUUACAACCAGUUACAGAUUCCUUUAUUCCUUCUCCACUCCCACUACUUACUUUGAUAAGACUUUU
ensembl:misc_RNA Y_RNA Y RNA